rnacentral:misc_RNA from 1 species
GGCGGAAUUGCCAAUCCCAUGUUUAGGGGGAAAGGACCAGCUAUGCUCAAGAGCAAUUACUCCCCUGCAUUUCCUCUGAAACAUCAGCAGAAGGACAUGAGGUUGGCUCUUGCCCUUGGGGAUGAAAAUGCUGUAUCAAUGCCAGUAGCAGCUGCAGCAAAUGAGGCUUUCAAGAAGGCCAGAAGCAUGGGAUUAGGGGACCUAGACUUUUCGGCUGUUUAUGA